UAAAGUUCCGAAAAAACCCCGAGACUUUUAUUUCGAGAAACAUAAACACUUGAGCCUAAUUUAUUAGCUAGUCAGGGUGACAAGCAGACCACCCCAAGUCGACCGUGAGAAAGACGCCUUCGAAUAUGCAAUUUUGCAUAUGAGUUUUUAGUUUUCACCCACACUUUAGAGGGGUAGUGUGAGCUAGAGUCAGUUCCAAGUUAGAGUGACUUAAAGUAAUUGCUUAAGUGAAUCAAGACUUUGUCUUAACUAAAAUUGAUGACCUGACCCCGACACCUCGGCACCAGCUCUCCUGACAGGAUUAUUUAAAGUGGUUGAGUACUUUCAAAGUUAGUAAAGUAGUGAGUUGCUAAAAUUGCCGCCGGUCCAAAGAUUUUCCUGAUAUUUGAUAAGCAUAUGUUUGUAAUUUGCGAUAAUUAGGCUUCUGUACAAAAAUCGGUUCAUCGAAGGCCAUUGUAAUGGAUUUUGCACGUGUUCAAAUUAGCUGUUAUUUUGCGUUUCAAAAAUGGCCCUACAAGUUAUAGUACGUUUGUUCUUGGAGAAGAAGAAAAUGCAUUCCAAAAAAACCUCUUUGGUGAAAUUUGUGGUGGCGGUUGUGGUUUGGACUUCCGUCUUUUAUGUGGCUUCUGCAGUUCCAUCAAAAAGGGCACUAUUGCCCGACUAAUUCUAACGAAAACAUUCGUCAGAAAACAUACGGGUCUUAUUUGACAUGUGUUUGAGAAAAAAUACAAAAGCUAUUCGAUAGUGCAAA